UGGUGUUGAUUAUGUAUUGUCAUCAUCAUUUGACCUGAAUCUCUGAACUCUUUUAGAGCUUAAUCUCUGAAUUAGAUUUACUUUGACUACAGCAGUCCUGUAAUUCUACAGUAUAAGAUCUGAAAUUUUCAGUAUAAUCCAAAGGGUUUCUUAAGAAUUGUUCUGAUCCAAAAAAAAACAAUAGUUCUUUUAGGCACACUCUGACAUCAAGAAUCAGAGUAUGAAUCUCAACAACGGUGAUAAAUAGCAUAUUCAGAUAAACAGAUCAACUCUGAACGUCACAAAACAAACUACUAAAAAUAUGCAAUGCAUGAUGGGAGCUAUUGACGAGUUUUGAUUGGUGGCACCCAGAAUGCACUGCAACAUUUGACGGUCACCAUUGUUGAGGUUCUCAUGCUGAUACUUGAUGUCUGUGUGCCUAGAUGAAAGCUUUUUUAUUAUUUUUAUUAUUUGAUCAGGAGAGCUUUUAAAAAUUCGGUAAAUCCAACUCAGAGAUUCAGAUCAGAUGAUGAUGAUGAUGUCAAAACAUAACCAACACCACCCAAUCACUUUUUCUCUUGGCUUGUCUUAACUGUUGUCUAGCUCAGUUACAGCAGCCAAACAAUACCUAAUGUUAAAGAGUCAAGCCCAACUAAAGAAAACAUUGACCACCGUCACCCAAUGGUAAAACAUGAUUUUCUCUGAAUCAUGAAUUCUGUGUUAACAUCAGGUGUUUUCAAUAAUUCAGUUUUGGGGGCCUGGAAACACAAGCUGUUGAACAAGAUGCCUGUAUCAUCUCCAUGUAAACAACAAAAACAUGAAUUUGUGAAAAAGGUGACAUCAUGUGCAUGCAUAUUACGUUUUUGCGCACUGUUUCUUGAUUGCCAACUACUGGCCUGACAUGCAUAACAUAGUAUCAUUAGCAUAGUGUUUUUUGUCCAAUGAAACCAAUAUUUUUCUUUAAAUUUUACUUAAUUUUUUUUGGCUAUUUUACUCAUUUUGAAUGGUUAAUUUGUAAUCAUCUCAUUUGAUUAAUUCUAAUCAUUUUUUGUGUGUUGCAUUUAAUUAAUAAUAUUGCUUGUAAUCUGUUGACAAUUUUAUUGAGUAAAUAUAGUGUAUCACUCAAUUUUAUUGAGUAAAUAUAGUGGAUCACUUAGUAGCCUAACUUACAAUGUUUUUAUUCACAUUAACUUUCAAUGUUAAAUUCACAUUAAAUAUAAAACCAGUCGUAUUAAAAUAUGUUAUGGCAUGACACCCAUAUCUGUUAAUUAAGUAAAAAGACAGGUUUUUAUGCAUAGUUAAUAGAUUACAUUAUUAGGUUACUUUGACCAUGCCCACUAGAUCAAAUAACAUUUAUUUAUUUAACCUUUAUUUAACCAGAAAAGACUCUCUGAGAUUAAAAAUCUCUUUCGCAGGAGUGUCCUGGCCAAAAUGGGCAGCAAUACAUCAGUUUCAUCACAAAAUAUUACAACACAAACAGACUAGAGACACUUAAAAACAGUUACAUAUCAUUGAGUCAAUUUCCAUUUGCCCAGUAACUGUUUUAAAAUGAUCCAAAGACAGCAAAUUUUGUAAUUUCAAUUUCGUUUGCAGAAGGUUCCAGUCAGUCGGAGCAGCAUACAUAAAAGCCUUUUAACCUAAUUCAGAUCGAACAAAAGGAACAGAGAGUAUAACAAUUUUGUGAGCGAAGGAAGUAUUUCUCAACAAUUUACAGCAGAGAUAUGAGGGUAACAUCCCCAAAAUGGCUUUAUAGAUAAUUAAAUACCAGUGCAUUUUUCUUCUGAUAGGCAAAGAAGACCAACCUACUCUGUUAUACAAUAUAUAGUGAUGAGUUGAGGGUUUACAAUCUGAUAUAAAUCUUAAAGCACCAUGAUAAACAGCAUCUAAAGAGGAGAGAAGAUAUGAUGGUGCGAACUGAUACACUACAUCACCAUAGUCAAGCACGGGUAGAAAAGUAGUAGUAUCCAAUUUCUUUCGUACAUUGAAUGAGAAACAAAACUUGUUCCUAAAAUAAAACCCAAGCUUGAUUUUUUUUUUCAAUUUUGUCUUCAGUUGAGUAAUGUGAGAGCUAAAAGAUACACACCAAAGAUAGUACAUUGUCCAAAGAUCGUAAUGCCAAGAUAUUUGUACUCUUUUACUAAUUCGAUCACGGUACCUUGUAGGGUCUGAAGAGAGGAUAAAUUAUUAUAAUGUUUUGGACCUGAGAACAACAUAUACUUGGUUUAAUCAACAUUCAGAACAAGUUUUAGAUUGUAAAUCUGUGAUUGGAUGACAUCAAAGGCUGACUGGAGCUUAAAAAGGGCUUGUUGUCCAGAAGAAGCACUACAAUACAUGACAGAGUCAUCUGCAUAGAAAUGAAAGUUGGCAUCCUGAAAGUCGUAAUCAAGACUGUUUAUAUAAAUGGUAAAGAGAAGGGGACCCAGCACAGAUCCUUGGGGAACACCUUUUGCAAUCACCAAUGAAUCAGAUAAUUUACCCUCAGCUUGUACACACUGAGUUCUUCCACUUACAUAGUUUUUAAACAAGGAAAUAACAUCACUUGAAGAACCAACACUCUUCAAUUAAUGCAGCAAUAUUUCAUGAUCCACUGUGUCAAAAGCCUUUGAUAAGUCAAUAAAAAGAGAAGCACAGAAAUCACCAUUAUCAAUCGAGCCCACAAUAUCAUUUAGAACUUUCAAAGCAGCUGUUGUAGUACUGUGUUUUUUACGAAACCCAGAUUGAUUAAUGGACAACACUUUGUUUGCAUUCAACUAACAUGUCAACUGUUCACUGAUAAGGCUUUCUAAGAUCUUUGAUAAAACACAGAAAUUGGUCUAUAAUUAUCUAAUAUAGUAGAAUCUCCCCCUUUUAAUAGAGGAACAACAAAAGCUGAUUUCCAGAUUUCCGGAAUGACACCAGUAUUUAAGGAAAGAUAUAAGUUAAAAAUAUAAGUCAGAGGAGAUGUAAUAAAGUCUGCUGCUAAUUUCAAAUAAACAGAUUCCACACAAUCAGGGCCUGGUGAUUUGUUUGUAUCAAGUAAUUUGAGUGCUGUAUGAACGUCAGAAUUCUUAAUUUGUUUAAAUCUAAAUUCAUCCUUUUUUAAGCGACUUUCUGCGUUAAUAAAAUUAGAAUCAGUACAUGCUAAAUUAAGUGAUUCAAAUAAAAACCUGGAGGCAACAAAAUGCUUAUUAAAACAAUUAAGCAUUUGUUCUUUAUCAGAUAUGCUAGUGGAAUCCAUAUUUAUACAUGAAGGAAAGCUAGAGGUGUUUUUACUACCUGUUAUCAUCUUUAUGUUUUGCCAAAAUUUCUUGGGAUUAUUUGCAUUAAGAGUAGAAUUAGCAAUUAAAUAAUCAGCCUUAGCCUUUCUUUUAUUCUGAAGCUGCCUAAAAUAAAUCCAGUCGGAGCUUAAGUCAGAUAGUCUAGUUUUUGCCCAAGCAACAUCACGCUCACGAAUAAGAGCAGAUAGGGCUUCAGAAAACCAGGAAUUAUCCCUACCUUUAACACAAAAUUUUUUAAGAGGUGCAUGCCUAUUGAUGAUCGAUAUAAAACCAUCAUAAAAAUAUAUCCAGGCUGACUCUGCAUCGUGGGUUUAAGAAAGAUCCUAUCCCAAUUGUAAUGUUCUACGUCAAGAAGAAAACCUUGUUCAUUAAAGUGUCUCAAACAUCUUCUAGUAAUAAUGCGUGGUUUAUGCUUAGGUAAUUUGGUAUCUCUGACUAUGGCAACGACGCAGAGAUCACUAACAUCGUUAGCAUAUACAGAAGCUAAAGAGUACUUAUGGGGAGCAUUACUAAAAAUGAGAUCGAUUAAUGUGGACUUUUUACUAUCCUUCAAGUUAGGUCUAGUAGGUGACUCAACUAACUGAAAGAGAUUAAGAGUGUCACAGAUUGCAUUAAAACCAGAGGUGUAAAGUACUUGAGUAAUUUUACUUGAUUACUGUACUUAAGUAUUAUUUUUGGGGAUUUGUACUUUACUUGAAUAAAAUUAAAAAUGAAUACUUCUACUUUUACUUAAUUACAUUUUUAAAGAAAAAAAAGUACUUUUUACUCCUUACAAUUGUAUUUACAGUCAAAAAGUACUCAUUUUUGGAGAUCACCAUUCUAUUUUCCCUUGCUACUAGCAAACCAAUUGAAUUGCGCUGAUGCCCAGUUUAAUUUAAAUGUUAUUUAUUCUGCCAAUGAGAUUCGUUUUAACAUUCCAUGAAAUUGGUCAGACAUGUUCAUUGGUCCUUUGGAAGUGAUGUCAUGUCGCAUCAAUUACCACAAUGCACAGCACCUUGACCUGGACCUGAGAGAAAUUAUAACAGUCAAUCAGUGGAAGAAAAUGGAGGAAGAACGUGAUUCAGCUGCGAACACAGUCCUAAAUCAGCCACAGGAUCAAGAGCACCCGUGGCCGUACCUUAGCGAAUUUUUUUAUUUUUGUGGUAUUAGUAAGGAUUCAUACAAGAUGAAAUGUAUACUUUGUCUCCCACUCAACAAGGAAAUAUCGGCCUUCAAAAGUUCGCCAUCAAACUUAAGGAAGCAUAUUGAGGUAAGUAUUUUGUUUUACUGAUACUGUUUUUUUUGCAAGUUUUGACUUUGACUGGCAAGCCGCUUAUGUAUGUAACUUUAGUAGGCUUAUUUUCGUUAAUACAUGCGAAUAACGAUAUAAGGCUUAUGUAAUAAAAUGUUAGGAAUGCAUUUGUAAUUCAAACUAUUUGCUACGGUAAUUGUCUGCAAUCUGUGGCAGUUGUUGAGGGUUUAAGUAAGUAGAUCCAAGGCAACUUUGGCGCCUAGCUGACUGUAUUGCUUUGAAUAAUCAUUACUGUCCCGCGCUCUCAUUGUUGUUGAAUUCAUGCACAAGAAAAGAUCUCCGUGAACUGAUCGACCAAGCGAGACGAUGUGUAGAAGAUAUGGAUUACCAGAAAUCACAUUGUAUUGUCAAAACUAAUGUAACGUAACUAAAUCAUUACAAAUGAUUAUCGAAUCAAUCAACCCUGUCAUGUCAGCCUUAAAGUCUUGGUUUUGUCAAUAAAACAGAAAAAUUAAAAUUCAUGUUCGAUUAGUCACUUAAUGCUACUGUAUUUCUAAAAUCAACAAGUAGUUAACAUUAUAAAGUGUGCAAUUUGCUGCAAAUGGCUCAAUUUUAUUAAUGCUGUAAUCAGAGAGUGCGUAAAUGUAAUUGUUACAUUUAUAUUGCAUACCAAUAUGAAGACAUGGUUUUCUUAUUUGUUGUUUUACAGAGAAUGCACCCAAAUUAUCUCAAAAACUACUCUAAAUUGACAGCACAGAAGAGAAAGAUCGGGACCUCUAACCAUGCUUCCAGCAGUAAGCAACUGAAAGUUGACUCUGUUUUCCCUGUCAAACAUGUGUCUCCAGUCACCAUGAACAAAGCUAUAUUGAGGUACAUCAUUCAAGGACUUCACCCUUUCAGCACUGUUGAUCUGCCAUCAUUUAAAGAGCUGAUUAGUACACUGCAGCCUGGCAGUUCUGUCAUUACAAGGCCUACUUUACGCUCCAAGAUAGCUGAAGCUGCUCUGAUCAUGAAACGCAAAGUGACUGCUGCCAUGAGUGAAGUUGAGUGGAUUGGAACCACAGUGGAUUGUUGGACUGCACAUAGAAAGUCAUUCAUUGGUGUAACUGCUCACUGGAUAAACCCUGAAAGUCUUGAAAGACAUUCUGCUGCACUUGCCUGCAAAAGAUUAAAGGGCUCUCAUACUUUUGAGGUACUGGCCAGUGCUAUGAAUGAUAUCCACUCAGUGUAUGAAAUAUGUGACAAGGUUGUUUGCACAACCACCACCCAACUUCCUGAAGGCUUUCAGAGUUUUUGGUGCUGAAAACAAUGAUAUCGAGACUGAGGCAAGCAAGCGUGAAAGUGAUUACACUGAUUCUGAAGGCUGUGAUGAGGGAAGUGAUGGUGUGGAAUUCCAAGAUGCCUCCCUACUCCUGGACCAAGAUGAUGGCUUCAAGUUCCAGCUACCAAAACAUCAAAAGUGUGCCUGCCACAUACUUAACCUAGUCUCAAGCGUUGAUGCCCAAAAAGCUCUCUCAAAUGAACACUACAAGAAAUUCUACAGAUCUGUCUUUGGCAAGUGCCAAGCUUUAUGGAAUAAAAGCAGCUGAUCGGCUCUAGCAGCUGAAGCUGUUGAAGCAGAAAGUAGACUUCAGCUUUUAAGGCCAAACCAAACGCGGUGGAAUUCAACUUUCAUGGCUGUUGACAGAAUCCUUAAAAUUUGCAAAGAAGCAGGAGAAGGUGCUCUUAGGAAUAUAUGCACCUCUCUUGAGGUUCCAAUGUUUAAUCCAGCAGAAAUGCUGUUCUUGACAGAGUGGGCCAACACAAUGCGUCCAGUUGCAAAAGUACUGAACAUCUUGCAAGCGGAAACAAAUACACAGCUGGGGUGGCUGCUGCCUAGUGUCCAUCAGUUAAGCUUAAAACUUCAGCGACUCCACCAUUCUCUCAGAUACUGUGGCCCACUUGUGGAUGCCCUACAACAAGGAAUCCAAACACGAUUCGAGCAUAUGUUUGAAGAUCCUGAGGUCAUCGCAGCUGCUAUCCUUCUACCUAAAUUUCGGACCUCUUGGACAAAUGAUGAAACCAUCAUAAAACAAGGCCUGGACUACAUCAGACUGCAUUUGGAGCCUUUGGACCACAACAAGGAAUUGGCCAACAGUUCAUCUGAUGAUGAAGAUUUUUUUGCCACUUUGAAGCCGACAACCCAUUAAGCCAGCAAACAGCUGGAUGGAUAUCUGGCCUGUGUUUCAGACACCAGGGAGUCUCUGCUCACGUUCCCUGCAAUUUGCUGCCUCUCUAUCAAGACUAAUACACCUCUUCCUGCAUUAGCUGCCUGUGAGAGGCUCUUCAGCACUGCAGGAUUGCUUUUCAGCCCCAAAAGAGCUAGGCUUGACUCUCACAAUUUUGAAAAUCAGCUUCUGCUUAAGUUAAAUCAGAGGUUUUACAACUUUGAGUAGCAUGUUACAUAAUGGCAUUAGGUGUGUCUUGUAGUUUGAUAGGUAAAUACAAUUUAAAUACAAACCAUUCUAAAGCAGGAUAAAACAUUGUAUGUGGUUUAUUCACUUCGUGUUGCAAGACAUUAAAAGCUUAAACAAGAAUAUCUAGUUUUCAUUCUUGCUGUUACUUUUACUUUUUUAAUACUCAAGUACAAUUUUAAUGUGGUACUCUUUUACUUUUACUCGAGUAUGUUUCUGGACCGAUACUUUUACUUUUAAUUGAGUAAAAUUUUCACUCCGUACUUUUACUUUCACUUGAGUAACAUUUUUGAGUACUUUUUACACCUCUGUUUAAAACAUCAGAUGCCGACUGCAGCCAGUUCACAUUAAAAUCACCCAGGAGGACCAGCUCUUUGUGAUUCAAGUAAGUCACUGAAUGCAUCAGAGAGGAAAUGGCAUCAUUACUAGCUGAUGGAGGUCUGUAGCAGCCAACUACUGUAAGAUGUAAGGUCUUGGAAACAAUAAGGUUUAAAGCUAAUAAUUCAUAUUUUUUUUAACUACUGACUCAGAAAGUAACACAAUAACUUCAUAUCUAUCCUUAACAUAAACUGCUACCCCUCCCCCUCCCCCCUUUUUGGUCUAUCAGCCCUGUAAACCGUAUAACCAUCAAUACCUAUGGCUUUAUCUGGAACCGUUUUAUUAAGCCAAUGUUUCAGAUAUUACUAUAAUGUCAGCACUGGUAUUUUUUGCCCAGAUACGCACUAAGUCCAACUUGGGAAGCAGGCUAAUCACAUUCAUAUGAAUAAAACCCAGACCCAGAACAUAAUCUAUAAAGGUGAGAAUCAAAAUAUUUCAUGAUAUAGUUAAUGCGUUUGGGAAUGUUUCAAAUGAAAAGGAAAAAAGUAAAUAAAACAUGAGUGCUGUUGUGGCUGCUGUGUGUCACAUGACGCUCCUGAUGUUAAUAUACAUAUAAAUAUUAAUAAUUCAAUAUAAUUAAUGGCGAUCGAGAUUCUUCAUAGCAGUGAAUAAAUACAUAAAUUCGCAUGUUUUGCUUGUGUGCUUUGAUAGUCUAUUGUUAGAAUUUCUGUCACGUGUUUCCGAGGUUCUGGAUUCUAAUCCACCCUCAUAAGGAUUUUUUUUUUCUUUUUUUUCAUUAAAACCAAAAGUGUUCAUCAGUGUUUGUAUAUCAAGAGCAGGGACACGUUUGUGUGCAUUUUGUUCUGGUUUUGUGCUUUUACCAGAACUAAGCGCUCAAUCGUCUGUGUGAAGAUUGCGCGUUGUGCACGAGCGCCAAGAGAGAACUGAUAACAGCGGCAACAAGCACUCCCCAUGAUUUCAAAAACAACACAUUCCAGAGAUAGAUCGCCUGUUACUUGACAUACACCAACGAAUUUCUUAUCCAAUGGAGAUGUUUCUUUCUUUAGGUACAUCCGUGCAUCACCGUCAGAUGUUGCAAAAAGUGAUGGGGUCGUGGGGACACGUCCAAUUACGCCUAUUCAAUAGGCUAGUACUUUGAGGAAACUAUUAAAAAUAUUCCACAGAAUGAAUAGUCGUUUUAUUUGUUAUAUGUAAUUUCCAUAUACAUAUGAUAAAUUGAUCAUUAUUUGUUGAAUUUCAGUUCAUCUUUGAGACGUGGUUCAGAAAGAGUCUCUCAGGGACGGCUGAAAGCGCACCCUGUUUAUUAUUCAUUUUAUUUUUAUUUUACAAAAGCACAAGGUUUUGUUUAAAAGUAGACCAUUUAUAGUUUAGAAGGAUGUCUUGCACUAAUCUGCCAAAAAAUGACGGAGUAGGUUAUUUUAAGUUGUUUCCACUGUCAUGCGCAAAAAAAUCCAUCAGAACGCACCGGUGCAUUCGUCGGCCAGAGGGUUAAAGAAAGUGGAGCCUAUUUAGUUUCACAGGCCUAUUUAUGUUUAAAUAUUAGGCAAUAAUAUAUAUGUAUAUAUAUAUAUUUUUUUUUCAUCUGUUGAUUAUGAAAAGAGAACAGCAUGACCAAGAUAGGCUCAUAAGAUGCACAAUAUGUCUGGAGACAUGGAGUGGGUCAGAUUUUGACCACUUCGUUGAGUAGAAAGCCUUUCUUUGAAGUGCAUUUCGUUUUGUAUGAAUUGUAUCUUAAUUUCAAUCAAUGUUUCAUCAACCAAUUGUCUGGAUUUAAUAAAUAAUUUAAUAAAGAAGAAAACCAAAAACGUCGGCUGUGGAAUGGAUUGUAACAAACGAACCCACCAUGAACGAAAAAAAGGAUCGCACUAAUCAUCUUAGACUUGCGGACCUUAUUCCAAAACCAUCGUAACUUAAGUAGUACUUGCAAAUCCUCGUAGAUCUACGGGUGCUCUGGAGUAAUCGUAAAUACGUGCAUCGUAAGAGGACAGAAUUAUGAGGUCACAUGCAGGACAGUCGGCAGAUUACACCUGUAACUUUAUUCAAGUGCAAUGUGAUUAUAAUUAAAGCUUUUGAUUGUACUUUAUAGACUACACUUUAUUACUCGUUUUUUUUUUUCUUUUUUUUUUUUUAAACUUCACCAUGGUUUCAAAAACUAUGGUUACCACAGUUUUACUGAAGCAUUACUAAAAUAUUACUAUUGUAGAACCAUGAUAUCAAAACCUUAGUUUGAGAAAAACUAAAAAACCCUGAUUACUACAGUUAUUACUAGUUUUACCAUAGUAAAAACAUGGUUAACUGUUGUAAGGGUACAAUGCUUUUCACAAUCAAAGCAGCUUUAGAAAAUUUCAAGGUUUCAAAAAAAAAAAAAAACCUAUCAACAGCCUGAGGUGACUGUGACUCAAUGGGGAGCAUCUUCUGGAAACAAAUGAAUGUCUAUAUGUCAAUAACUCUAAGAUAAGACAAGUUAUGUGUUCAAAGUCAUGUUCAGUUAAAGGGGCAACCAUUAAAGGGUAGGUUCGGGGAAUUUAAAUCCACUUUAUACUGUCACAAAGUCUGUAAACAUUAUUCGGAUAAUGCAAAAUAUUAUUUGGCCGACAAAUAAAUGGGUAUAUCUCAUGGAACUCAGAGAAAGAUUAAACAUUGUUCGUUCACAUAUAUUACCAUCAUAGUAACAAUACAAAGUGGGUUGAAAAUCACUCAACGUAUGCUUUAGGGCAAUGAUGACAAUACAUAACAUUUGUCAGGUUGGUAUGUUCAUCUGUAGUUGCCAUCAUCUGGGGUCUUCAUGAGUGUUGGCAUCAUCUGAAGUAAUCACAAGUGAGGCUGGAUCUAAGCUGUAGUAACACUGGGAUGGGAAA